CCAAUGGCCACCCGCCGAGUCUUACUCCACCAUUCGUGGGGGAGGAUGCCUAAGGCAGUGCUGGUGACUGGGGUGAAGUCGUAACAAGGUAGCCGUACCGGAAGGUGUGGCUGGAUCACCUCCUUUAAAGGAGACCUACCCAACUUUGAUAUCGAGGACACAGAGUUAAUAGAUAUAAAGAUGGUCAUUCCUAGGUCGGUCGAAAUUGGUAAAUAGCUUUCAAAGUAUUACUGGUUCAGUAAAUGUAGAGUUUGUUAAAAAACUGGAAAAAUUCAGCAAUAUGGCGAUUUGCCAGACUGCUGGGUAGUAUCUCAGCCAGAACCUUGAAAACUGCAUAGGAAUGCGAAGCAGGCAGACACAGACAUUGGAUGUGUAUGCAAAAGAAAUAGUGGUCAAGCUAAUAAGAGCUGACGGUGGAUACCUAGGCACACAGAGAUUGAACGAUUUGCACCAGAGGAUUACCCGAAAGGGUGGAUCGGCUGGGAACGAGUCAAGCGAACGAAGGUAUGUGGGGGAUACCUAGGCACACAGAGAAUC
rnacentral:sRNA from 1 species